AUGGCAAAGGCGGGAGAGAACAGCUUUGAGGAUGAAAUCAUGGAGUCGGACAUCGAAUUGGAAGGGGAAGUUGUUGAGCCGGACAAUGAUCCUCUGCAGAAGAUGGGAGAUCCAUCAGUUGAAGUCUCUGAAGAAAUGCGCGACAAGGCACAGCUCUACAAAAAGAAGGGUGUUGAUGCGCUUUCAGAAGGUAAACUGGACGAAGCAGUCGAGCACCUGACGGAGGCCAUCUUGCUGAACCCCACUUCAGCUAUCCUCUAUGCAGCCAGGGCUGGUGUUUUUGUGAAGAUGAAGAAACCAAAUGCAGCAAUUCUUGAUGCGGAGGCAGCAUUACAGAUAAAUCCAGAUUCUGCUAAAGGAUAUAAAUCACGAGGGAUGGCGAAAGCUAUGCUUGGGAAGUGGGAAGAUGCUGCUCAUGACCUUCACUUGGCAGCAAAAUUGGAUUUUGAUGAAGAGAUCAGCUCAGAGCUUAAGAAGGUUGAACCCAAUGUACACAAAAUUGAGGAGCACAAGAAAAAGUAUGAACGCCUGCGUAAAGAGAGGGACAUGAAAAAAGCUGACUUGGAAAGACAACGUAGGCAUGCUGAGGAGGUUUCUGCUGCUUCUGCUGUUCUAAAGCCUGGUGAUGUGAUCACUAUCCACUCAUCUAAUCAACUGGAAGAAAUAUUUACAGCCGCGUCAAAACUGUCAAAGCUUGUGAUUCUGUAUUUUACUGCAACAUGGUGUGGACCAUGUCGUUUUAUGGGCCCUGUUUACAAAAGCUUAUCUGAACAGCACCGGAAUGUCGUAUUCCUUAAGCUGGACAUUGAUCAACAAGGCAAUAUUGCCCAUCGCUGGAAUGUCUCAAGUGUUCCAACAUUCUCCUGUGUGAUAAACGGCAAAGAGAUUGAUAAGGUUGUCGGGGCUGACAAGACCGGCCUUGAGAGAAAAAUUGCGCAGCAUGGCUCUCUUAAACACUGA
rnacentral:rRNA from 1 species